rnacentral:lncRNA from 1 species
AGGUUGAUCGGUUAAUUCAAUAAGAAAUGGGGGUUAGCGCUCGAUUUCGUUGGUCCCAUCCAAUUCAAGUGCAUGCAAUUGGAUUGUUUCCUUAUUCAAUGAAGGAAUUUUUAAGUUCAACCAACCUAUUUUCAAAAUAGGAAGUGGAUAAAUAAAAAUUUUGGGAGAGUCUUUCAUUUGUCCAUCAUUAUAGGCAACACCAUCCAUAUUAUCUGUGGAAUUCAAACCUGAACUCUAUAUAUGAUUCCUUAUUUCUAUCUCAUUAGCCUUGUUUCAAUUUCAUUUCAUAUUUUAUUUUAGCAUAUCGAUUUUUUUUACUUUACGUCCAACCUCUCCCCCCUUUUUCCAUCUAUAUUCCCUUUUUUUUUCAUUUCAGGGCCGAAUUACGCCUGUUUUCACAUCUAGGAUUUACAUAUACAACAUAUAUUACUGUCAAGGGUGAAUUUCUUAUUUUAUUGAGCUUAUAAUAUAUAAUUCAUAUUAGAUGUUAGAAUAUUAAGUCUAUUAUAUAUUUAUCUAUUCUAUUAUAUAUAUAUUCUAAUAUAUAUUAGUAUUAUUUUUAUAUUAUUUAUCUAUUUCUUAUCUAUUUCUAUUUCAUUUAUUUCAUUUGCAUUUAGAAUUUUGAUUCAAAAAAAAAGUAAGGAAUUAUAAACUUGAAAAACACGGAUCGGGUUACGCCAUACAUAUGAAAGAAUAUAGAAUAAUGAUGUAUUUGGCGAAUCAAAUACCAUGGUCUAAUAAGGAACCUUUCGGAUUCGUUGAUAAUUUUUUGAAAGAUUUCUUUGAAAAGGUUUCAUUAACUUCUCAUUUAUAUCGAGUAGAUCUUGUUGUUGCGAGAAUCUUAAUUCAUGAGUUGUAGGGAGGGACUUAUGUCACCACAAACAGAGACUAAAGCAAGUGUUGGAUUCAAAGCUGGUGUUAAAGAGUAUAAAUUGACUUAUUAUACUCCUGAAUAUGAAGUCAAAGAUACUAAUAUCUUGGCAGCUUUCCGAGUAACUCCUCAACCCGGAGUUCCGCCUGAGGAAGCAGGGGCCGCGGUAGCUACUGAAUCUUCUACUGGUACAUGGACAACCGCAUGGACCGAUGGGCUUACCAGCCUUGAUCGUUACAAAGGGCGAUGCUAUGACAUUGAGACCACUCUCGAACCAUCACACGGAUUCCAACCCAGUACUAUUUGUUCCCUUGCUUUCUCUUCACUUUGCCGCUCAAAAAGACAAAGAUUUCAGUCUAAACUAAAGGGGUUGUGGGAUAUCUGAUCCCAACAUCAAAUCAAAGAUGAGAAAUUCCUUAAUGAGUAUGAACCUCUUUCGCGAGAAAAUAAAAUUUUUGGGGAAUAUUGGUGGGAUAACCUGGGCUUCCAGACCUUGAUCCGCUUGCCCCGAAAUGACCCGGCCCAAUAGGGAAUCCCAAUUCAUUUGGCCUUUCGAUACAAUCAAAUAGAAAGCCCCAAGGGCGCCAUAUCCUAGGAGCCCAAACUAUGUGAUUGAAUAAAUCCUCCUCUAUCUGUUGCGGGUCGAGUACUCCUUCUCCUUCCCCUUCUUCAAACUCCGAUUCGUAUUUUUCAUAAAGAUUUCUCUGAUCAAUGAUAGAACAAGAUCCAUUUUGCAUCAUAUAUAAGGGAUUCCCCGGCUCGGACCGAUCCCUUCUCUCGCUACUGGUUGAUCCCCAGAUCUACCCCUCCCCCUCCAUCAACUAAUCUUAUUCUUGGAUCUUGUUCGUGAAAUUGAUAAAAAUCAAUAUUUUUAUGUAUUUUUCUAAUUUCUAUGUGUAUUAAAUUACUAUAGUCUGAUAUAUUUCCUUCAUUUUAUUUCUUUUAUUUAUUGUUAUUGUUUUCUUUCUCAUAUUUCCUUCAGAUGAAUAUAAAACAAAAAAACUCCAAAGGCUAUUUUUUCAUUUCACGGGUCGAGAAAUCCACUUCGAAUCUUUUUUUGAUAUACAUAAAGUAAAUAGAAAAAGAUUCAAAGUUCCUAGUUUUCAAUCUAAUACAAUAUUUAAUAAUAUUAAAUUAAAUAAUAGGAGACUCAAAAUGAAAGUUUCUUUUUCGCACUCACUCUCCAUCACAUUGGUAGAACAAAAGUGUCAUAUGUAUCGAUAUAGAAAUAUUUGAUAUGUGAAGACAAAACUAGAAAGUUCAAAACAAUUGGGAUUUUUUUUGGAGAUUGGAUGCAGUUACUAAUUCAUGAUCUGCCAUGUACAGAAUGAAAACUUCAUUCUCGAUUCUACGAGAAGUUUUAUGAAAGCCUUUCAUUUGCUUCUCUUCGAUGGAAGUUUUAUUUUCCCAGAAUGUAUCCUAAUUUUUGGCCUAAUUCUUCUUCUGAUGAUCGAUUCAACCUCUGAUCAAAAAUAUAUACCUUGGUUAUAUUUCAUCUCUUCAACAAGUUUAGUAAUGAGCAUAACGACCCUAUUGUUCUGAUGGAGAGAAGAACCUAUGAUUAGCUUUUCAGGAAAUUUCCAAACGAACAAUUUCAACGAAAUCUUUCAAUUUCUUAUUUUACUAUGUUCAACUCUAUGUAUUCCUCUAUCCAUAGAGUACAUUGAAUGUACAGAAAUGGCUAUAGCAAAGUUUCUGUUAUUCGUAUUAACAGCUACUCUAGGAGGAAUGUUUUUAUACGGUGCUAACGAUAUAAUAACUAUCUUUGUAGCUCCAGAAUGUUUCAGUUUAUGCUCCUACCUAUUAUUUGGAUAUACCAAGAAAGAUGUACGGUCUAAUGAGGCUACUACGAAAUAUUUACUCAUGGGUGGGGCAAGCUCUUCUAUUCUGGUUCAUGGUUUCUCUUGGCUAUAUGGUUCAUCCGAGGGAGAGAUCGAGCUUCAAGAAAUAGUGAAUGGUCUUAUCAAUACACAAAUGUAUAACUCCCCAGGAAUUUCAAUUGCGCUUAUAUUCAUCACUGUAGGAAUUGGGAGAGUUUCUUCCCUUUCUCACAAGGAACCAACUAAACAAAGGAGUCCUUGUCAUAACAAAUAUGAUGUGUGGCACUAGUAUCAAGCCACCAUUCUCUUGGAUUUGAAUCAACCAAGUUGACUUCAGAAAUCAUGGUGCAGAGGUCGAGAUCAGAUUCUUCCUUAGAAAUAUUUUCCAUAGUGUUGGCCUUGUCUGUUCAGAUCUUCUUUGGAAUCCUACAAUCAGAUGACUUGUGUCCUAUCUUAUUUCAAUUAAAGCAUUUUCCUUGGAAUUUUGACUUCUUGAAGAUACCGCCUUUUGGUCCUAGUUUAAACCGAGUCUAAGAAUGUUUUCUUUUCUUGGAGUCCUUCUUGACUUCCAUUAUGUUUUCCUUGGCAAAGUUAGGAUCAUUUGCUUUGUUUAGCCUUUUAGUUGCACCUCAAUUGUAUUAUUCAAUUUUAAGUUUGACAAUAAGAUCUUCCACUGUCAUUUCCUUUCUCGCAUGCUUAAGAUAGUUAUUGAAGUCAUUCCAAGCAGGGGAAGUUUUUCAAUAAUGGCUGUAACCUGAAAGGAUUCACUUAUAUCCAUCCCUUCUGCUAGAAUACCAUGAAUGAUCAAUUAGAAUUCCUGCACCUGAUUUAUAACAACUUUAGAAUCAACUAUUACAAAGUUUAAGAACUUGGCAACUAAGAAUUUCUUAGCACUAGUAUCGUCAGUUUUGUAUUUAUGGUUUAACGAUUCCCAUACAAGAGGCUCUCAUAUACUGGUGUGCAUCGUUCUCCGAAGCAUUUAAUCUCCUUUCCUAACUUAGUCCAACCAAACCUCCCUCAAAGCCACAUAAAUAUAAUGCAUAUGUAACCCAUGUAUAAACAUUCAAACCUCCUCAAAGCCACGUAAAUAGUAUGCAUCACAUACACAGACCCUCAACCAAAUAUUUACUAUUUAUCACACGCCAUAUAACAUGCCAAUCAUUCUAUUGAUUGGUCAUAAUCAUACUUACUACCAAUCAUUCAUAUCAUUUCAAUAUGCAACAAUGCAUUAUGCCAAACAUUUUAUUCACUUAACACAAUUAACUCACAAUCAUUUUGAAAGUGCAAACCACAACACAUACAAUCACCAUACAUCAUUAAUUCGCCAUAAUAUACUCAUGAUUUGCAAGCUCAUUACGUACUGCAUGCAACAUGACACUUUUACUCACAACCAUAGAAUGAUUUAUCAUUUACAUAAUACUGAAUCAACCAUUUUUAACACACAAUAUUCAAAUAGGAAAAUCCAUUUAAGAUAUGAGUUCUGAAACUCACUUAGAAGUUGUCACCAAAUUCAUUUUCUAAGCCUUUUCCUUGCUACACGAGCCUUCGUAGUCAAUACAACACAACAACCAUUUCAAAAUCGAACUGAGACCAUUCAUCAUCAUAAAAAAAUAUAAUUCUUUUGUAGGUAGAGACCAUUUAAAUGAUUAUUCAUCUCUUUACCCAAACAUAAUAGAAUCAAUAGUCAACCAAAAUCCUUAACUACCUUCUAUUUCUUAAAUCCGCUAAUACAGACCUACAUGCAAGAAUUCCAAUUUCUAAGACUUAAACCUCAGUCUCUCCCAUUCAUUCAUGAACAUUCCUUAAUCUUUCUCUCUUCCGUGGCAAACUAGAGAAAAGAAGAAGAACAGAAAAAUAAAAGAAUCAUCCCCGGAGAAGAAUGCUUCUCCUAUAAAUAUAUAGUCCCUCCGUCCCUUUUCACCCAAACCAAUUCACAGCCACUUGGAAAAACCUUAAUCAUCAUGUCUCCCAAUAAUAUAUACUUAGUUCAUAACUAACAAAACUAUGGUUGAAGUCCAACCUUUUCCAAAAUCAAUCCGCUAAUUUAACAUUAAUUACAAAAAGAACCUGCCAGAUUAGAAAACUUCUCAAUUAAAUCCGUAAAUCACCUUUGCAACCCAAUACUUAACGAAUUUGAGUGUGACAUGAUUAAGGACCACGAAUGAUGUAUUAUUGUAAUUUAAUCAUGAUUGAUGUUUGAAUACAUGUGAAAAUGAUUAUUUUAUUGUGAACCUGAUUGUGGUUGCUUUGACAAUGAAUGUAGCAACAUAUAUAUUAGACCCAUCGAUUGGGUUGAGCAAGAGGUGUUACACUUAUAAUUAUUUAAUUGAAUCUUCUAUAAAUUUACACAACACUUACCACUAUCACUGUUAUGUUUUCUAAAGUAUUAUUGACAAUUUAAUCACUUUAAGACUUGUUCAUGGAACUCACUUAUAAUCAUUUAUGUGAUCACUUGUUCAUACUUUAUAUUUAAUUACUAUUUCUUAUUUCUCUAGUUUUAUUACUUGUUAUUUACUUCACUUGUCACAUAAUGAUUUCUAUCUCAAAAUCACUUACUCUCACACCUUACACUUUUGAAUAUUAUUUACUUUAGUCCUUCUUUUAAACAUAUUAUAUACACUUAACUUAUUAACACUUCUACUUUCUCAUGUCACAAAAUAAAUCACUUUUUUUAAUUAUUAUAAUUUCCAAAUAUUAAUUUUUUCAUGAAUUCUUUUACACUAAUAUUAUUUUUAAUUAAUUUUCACAUUCUCUGCACUUAAUUUAUAGCAUGUUUCAAUUUAAUCCUUUGAUAAAUAAAUAGAGUUCAUAUGAGUAUUUAACUCUCUUGGCUAGAUAUCAUUUACUUUGCUUCACUUCUCUUUCUUUUAGACCUUUUUCAUUUCCAUUCCUUUUUCUAUAAUACUUUCAUUACCUUUUUCUCUUUUCUUUUGAUGAACACCUUAAGAAAAUAAUUAAAAUCUACACUAAGAAUCUCUUUCUUAUAUUUCUACUCCAAUUAAACAUAAAACCCAUCAGAAAAUAUAUUCUUACCAUAUCUCUUUAAUCUCUUCACUCUCUUUUCAACUUUUUUCACUUCUAACUCUAAAUUUCUUGAUUACAAAAUGCUAAGCAAGCUCUCUAAAGUCUCUACUUCACUUUUUCUUUUUGCUAGCUAUAGAAAAUCUCUAGAUUCUAAGGUGAAAUUUAAAGAAAAAUGACCAAUUUGUAAAGAAGCCAAAGCUUUUCUUUUUUUUUUCCUUCUCUUUUACAUUGGAAAAAAAUGGAAAAGUAUGGUAACAUUUCUCCAUCUUUCCAUAAUAUUUAUCUAUUAUAAAAUAAUUAAAAUAUUAAUAAAAACCUCAACUUUAUAAUUAACAUCCACAUUUUCCCUCAACAUCCAAGGGCCAUAAUCAUGACAACACUUUCAUGAAUUAAUAAAUAAAAUAAAAAUAAAUAUCUUUGAUCCAAUGGUUAGAAUUUCUUCUUUAUUUCCCAUAGAAUCUAAUAGCGAUAAACAUCGCAACAGUUCUUUUUUUUUUCUAUUUAUAAAUUUCAUAAUUAUUCAUUCCAACAAUAAUCCUUUUGCCCUUAAACACUCUAUAAUUCUUCCAUUGAGUAAUUAUCCACUUUUAGUAAAUUACACUUUUUGUUCUUCCCUUUUUUUCCCACUAAUUCAAUUUUAUCCUUUUGCAUUUUAAAUUUGUAACACCCCUAACCCAUAUCCGUUGCCGGACUAAGGUUAAAGGUAUUAUCAAACAAAUCGAAGCAUUUUGCAAAUAGUUUAAUAACUUCAUCCACAAACAUAGUCAAACAUCAUUAUAUUAUCCCUUAUAUAGGUCAUCAAGACCUUAAAUCAUGCUUUGGAAAGGGGUCGGGACUAGACCAAACUCAUACAAAAUUUUUCAAAACUUAAACAUUUUACAAAGUUGUAUAGGUCACACGCCCAUGUGAACAGGUCGUGUGCCUCACAUGACUUUAGACACGCCCGUGUGUCUAGACCGUGUCAAAACAGGACAUACAUACUGACUUGUCCACACGGCCACAAGACACGCUCGUGUGUGCGACCGUGUGGUCUGCUCAGGCUCAUUUCGAAAUGGCCCUCGAGCAACACGGCUGAGACACACGCCCAUGUCCCUGCUUGUGUAGGCCAAAAAAAGGCCAUUUACAAGGCCAACUUGCCACCAAUUAAGGGUCUUCCCUACAAUUAUCCAAUAGGCACAAAUUGCACAUCAAAUUUCAACCAUUUCACAACCAUUUAUACCAAUUCAUUAUCCACAUAUUUCAUGUUUGAAACACAUAUCAAAUUGUAUCAUUCCAUAAGCCAAAUACCUAAAAACAUAUGAUUUAUAACCUUAAUAUCCAUCAUUCAAUCUCAUGCAAUAAUCUUACCUUUUCUCCAAAUAAGCACAAUUCAAAAACUUACCAAUUUGACCAAUCUCUUUGCCCAUUCAUGAACACAUUAAACAUACCACUAUUGCAUCACAUAACAUUUACCAAAAUCAAGCCAUAAUUUCAACCAUAAUUAAGCCAUAUCAUAUGGUUAAAUAUACACUUCACAAAACAUAUUCAACUACCUCUAGCCUAUACAUGUCAUACUUUAAUAUAUACAUUUUCAAAAGGUACCAAAAUAUAGUUCGAUAGUGUGGUGACGAUCCUCGAUGAUCCCCGAGCUCUCGAUAGCUACGAUAUCUAUAAAACAAUGCAAACACACACAAAGUAAGCUUUCAAAAGCUUAGUAAGCCAUAUACAAAUAAACUUAUCAACUUAAGCAUAUAAACAUCAUAAAAUACAUAUACUUCAUCGCCAAGCUAACAUAUACCACAUAGUUCACAUAUAAUUCACAUAUUUCCAAUUCAUUUGCUCAUAUAACAUAUUUUCUCAUAAUUAUAUCAUAUGUUCACAAAGGUACAUGUGCUUAACUUUCAUUCUUAACAUAGUGUACAAUUCAAACAUACCUGAAUUGAAUAUGCAUUUCAUAUAAUCAUUCGUAUCUCGAAAUGCCCGUUGAAUCGUUCGGAAUCAUAAGGAUACGCGGAUAACUCGAAAAGCUCGUACAAUGUAAAUGUCCCAGACAUGGUCUUACAUGUAAUCAAAUUUAAUGCCACUGUCCCAGACAGGGUCUUACACAAAAUCAAGUACAAUGCCAAUGUCCCAGACAUAGUCUUACACGUAAAUCAUAAGUCGAUGUCAACGUCCUAAAUGUGGUCUUACACGAUAACACAUAUCGGAUCCUAUGUCAUGACAUAUGUAUCCUAACUAUUCCUAAGGUUCGUACAGGGCUUUUCGGACAUUGAAACUUUGUCGAUACUUUCUCGAAUGUCUUAUAUUCAAAGCAUAAAGACAUUCAUUAUUGUUCAAUAACAUAUAAGCAUAAAUAAACCAUUUCAAAUACAUUUAUUUGUAUAUAAACUUACCUCGUAUAGAUUCGGAUUGACAGAAUCAGCUACUCGACGACUUUAGACUUUCCCCGAUCUAAUUCUGUUUUCUUUAUUUCUUGAUCUAUAUAAAUUCAAAUUUCACUCUUUUAUUUACCAAAUCAUUCAAAUCAAUCCACAAACACACAUUUAGGGCAUUUUACAUAUUAGCCCUUACAUUUUCACAUUUUAACACUUUAGUCCCUAUUUCACAAAAUCACAAAAUACACAAAAUUUAUUUAUACUUAGCUGAAUGUUCAUAGUACUCAUACAAGUCCAGAUAUUUCAUUUAUUUCACAUUUUAGUCCCUCAAGUUACAAAUUUCACAAUUUAGCCCAUUUUACUAAAAUUCAUGAAAAAUUCAAAGGCAAAACCUAGUAAUCUAACACAUAUCUUUCAUAUACUAUCAUCAAACUUCACAAAGCUCACAUUAUAAAAAAUGGCAUAACUCAAAAUCAUCAAUAAAAUCAGAAAUUGAGACAUGGGCUUGUUAGGUUACUAAGUAAUGAUCACAAAAACGUAGAAAUUAUCAAAAACGAAUCAAAACACAUAUCUUAAUCAAGCAAAGUCUUUUUUGAACCCUAACUUGUGUUUAUCUUCUUAUUUUAUUUAUGUUUUUUGGCAAAGUGAUGAACAUAUGAAGAAAAAUUAUGUUUUGUUCUAUUAUAAUAGGUUUAUUUACCUAUUUACAAAUUUAACCUUUAUUAUAACAUUUAAUAAACACAUAAUAUAUGGUCAUUAAUGUCCAUUAACCCUUUAAAUGGUCUAAUUGCAACAUAAGGACCUUUCAAUUAAGAAGACAUAGCAAAUAAGCACUUUAACAAAUGGAAGGCCAUUUUUACAUUUUACGCGAUUAGGUCCUUUUAUCAAAUUGAGCACACAAACGAUUAAAUUUUCAUACGAAACUUUCACACAUGUCAAUUCACAUAUUAUAAGCACAAAAAAUAAUAUCAAAAUUUUUUUUGACUCAGAUUUGUGGUCCUGAAACCACUAUUCCAACUAGGGUCUAAACUGGACUGUUACAAAAUUUCACACUUUGAUCCUAACACUUUUCAAAACCUUACAAUUUAAAAUAUACUCAUGAUAAAUAUUUCUUAAUAUAUCAAACGUUUCAACUCCCUUAGAAAUCCAACUACCUCUUCUACUAACAUUGAUAAAUCACAUUUUAUUUACUUUGAAAAAAAUUUUCAUAUUUAGGGAUGUUACAAAAACGAGUAUUAGUGAAAGUAAAAAAUUUUCAUAUCUAGGGUUUGUUUCAAGCUUUCAAGCUCCAUAGUAAGUGAUUCCAAGCCCCGUAUAUGAACUUGGUAUAGUUAGACGUUUCAUUUUGUGUAUGGCAUGUAUAUGAACUUGGUUUCUUUUGAUAUGAUAUGAUCAAUGAAUGAUGUGUAAAUACUUGCUAGUGAUUAGCUAAUAGAAUGGCUGAUGAUAUACAUGUUUAAUAGUAUGUAUGAUUAAGUAGUAACUAUCACAUGAAAACUAUGAAAAAUGUGAAAGUAACUUAAAAAUGGAUUCAAGUAUCAGAAAUAAUGUUACUUUGAAAAUCACAAAAAAAAUUGUAGAGACAUGGUUUGAUGGUGAAUAAUAUAUGAAAUUAAAUCUCAUUGUCUCUAUUUUCAUAUGGAAUAAGCAAAACUGGUAAAGGUUUUGUAUUUUAUAGGAUAUCUGAGUUUUAGUGAAAUAGGGCCAGAGCAAUUUCUGGAUCCCCUGUUCCAAAUUUAGAAAUUCACCAUAAAUUUUACAAAAAUAAUUAGGUGGUGUAAUUUAUAUGGUUAGAAUCCUUAUUGAAUAUAGUUUUAACAUACAUAAACGGUAUAGUCAUAUGAAUUUUUUACAGGGAGAAAAGUGGUUCGUAGUAAGUAGAGGUCAGUGCAGUCAAAUUCUGAAAUAGGGGUAACUUUAACUAAUAAAAUGUACUAAUUGGCUAAGUAAAAAAUUCUAGAAAAACAUUAGUAGAUAUAUAUAUUAGUCUAGUUUCAGGAAAAAUUUACAGAUCUUAAUUUCAGGUUUUGAAACUCGAGAAAUGAAUUUUUAAGCAACCAUGAUGCAGAAAAAUAGUUUAUUCCGAAAAUUAAAAUAAGUGGUUUAGAGUUGUUUAAAAGGUAAGAUAAGUUUAGUAACACCUCAAGCUUGACUCCGGUGACGGUUUCGAGCAUGGGGGCGUUACAUUUAUUGGUAUCAGAGCAGGUUUAGUCGGUUCUCGAAACAGUUAGUGUGAGUAAAAGUCUAGCUAUACAUGCCAUACCUGUAUUUUGAUAGUGUGACGACUCCUGACGAUUUUUAAAUAUUUUGUUUUAUAGUAAUGGAUCCCGAGCGAGCUGGUGAUGAUGAUGUAGAAAGUAAUGCGCCUGAUCCUGCGGAAGGGGUAGCGCCAUCUGAGAAUAGGCCAGUAACAGUUGAUCAGGGAGGAGUGACUCGAGAAGCUCUCUUCCAAGCUUUGAAUGAUUGGUUUGCCGAGUUCGUUCGUACGAAUCCGGCAGUUAGACCUCCACCCCUUCAUGAUUCUCAGGCUACCCAUGUAGCUCAAGCUCCCCUUGUCACAGGUACAGUGAUAAGAGAAAAGCCACCAGUUGAUAGAAUCAGGAAACAAGGGGCAGAAGAGUUCCGAGCAACAAAAGAUGAUAAUGCAGAAAGAGCAGAAUUUUGGUUAGAAAAUACUAUCAGAGUCUUUGACGAAUUAUCUUGUACACCCGAGAAAUGUAUGAAAUGUGUAGUAUCACUUCUUAGAGACUCAGCCUACCACUGGUGGAAGACACUUGUAUCAAUUGUACCAAAGGAGAGGGUCACUUGGGAUUUCUUUCAGGAGGAAUUUCGUAAAAAGUACAUCAGUCAGAUGUUUAUUGACCAGAAGAGAAAGGAAUUCCUGGAAUUGAAACAAGGUAAUAUGACAGUGACCGAUUAUGAGCGCGAAUUUGUCAGACUUAGUAAAUAUGCUCGAGAAUGUGUGUCCACAGAGGCUAUCAUGUGUAAAAGGUUUGAGGAUGGGUUAAAUGAUAAUAUCCGACUGUCAGUGGGUGUCCUAGAAAUAAAAGAGUUCAUUAUUUUAGUUGAGAGAGCCUGUAAGGCAGAGGAGCUAUUAAAAAGAAAAGGCAAAGUUGAGACAGAGACACAAGAUACAAGGAAGAGACAGAUGAGCAGGUCAUUCCAGGCUACAUCCAAAAGGCCAAAGGAGUUUUCUACCAGAUCUAGUUUCUCAGCCGGGUAUUCUAGUCAGAAUAGAGGCAGUAGAUUUAAGGAUCCGAAGGCUCAGACCACCUUGACUGCGAGUGUAGGUAAUGUUAGACAGGGUAGAUCAGGGUGUCCACGAUGUGGUAGACUUCAUUAUGGUCCUUGUCAGGUAGGCGAAAAAUGUUUGUUAUAAAUGUGGUGCUCCAGAUCAUUUUGUACGAGAAUGUCCAGAGGUGGCUAAUCGAGAGAUAACACAGAGUGCUAGAUCCGAAAAUGCUCCUACUAGAGGUAGAUCACCGAGGCAACUGGGAGUAGGAGCAAGUAACAGAGGUACCUCAAGAGAUUCGGCUGUGAGACCAGAUGUUAGAGCCCCUGCAAGGACUUAUGCUAUUUGUGCAUGCGAAGAGGCAUCCUUCCCCGAUGUGAUUACGGGUACAUUUUCUCUACAUGAUAUUAAUGUCAUUGCUUUGAUUGAUCUGAGUUCAACUCAUUCAUAUGUUUGCAAGAAAUUGAUGCCUAGUAUAAGUAUGCCUAUAGAAUCUACAGAAUUUGUGAUUAAAGUAUCGAAUCUAUUAGGCAAGCAUGUAUUAGUAGAUAAAGUAUGUAGAAAUUGUCCUUUGAUGAUUAAAGGCUACUGUUUUCCAGCCGAUCUCAUGCUAUUGCCAUUUGAUGAAUUUGAUGUGAUUCUUGGUAUGGAUUGGUUGACUACACAUGAUGUGAUAGUGAAUUGUGGAAAGAAAUUUAUUGAGUUGAAGUGUGAAAAUGGUGAAACUUCGGGUUAAUUCAGAAGAGUCAGAUAGUUCAUUUCCAAUAAUUUCUGUUAUGUCUGCUCAGAAAUGUUUGAGAAAACGGUAUGAAGCUUAUCUUGCUUUUGUGUUGAACACCAAAGAUCCAGAAUUGAAAAUUGAAUCAGUGCCUGUGGUAUGUGAGUUUCCCGAUGUGUUUCCGGAAGAACUACCAGGUUUGCCUCCUGUUAGAGAAGUUGAGUUUGGUAUUGAGUUGAUUCCAGGUACCACACCCAUUUCUAUUACUCCUUAUAAAAUGGCUCCAUUGGAAUUGAAAGAAUUGAAAGCUCAAUUGCAGGAAUUAACAGAUAAAGGCUUUGUAAGACCCAGUAGUUCACCAUGGGGUGCACCAGUGCUAUUUGUGAAAAAGAAAGACGGAUCGAUGAGAUUGUGCAUAGAUUAUCGGCAACUUAACAAGGUAAUAGUAAAGAACAAGUAUCCAUUGCCUAGAAUUGAUGAUCUGUUUGAUCAAUUGAAGGGAGCUACUGUGUUCUCCAAGAUAGAUUUGAGAUCCGGAUACUAUCAGUUGCGAGUUAAAGAGUCAGAUGUCCUGAAGACUGCUUUCCGGACUAGGUAUGGUUAUUAUGAGUUCCUUGUGAUGCCAUUUGGCUUGACUAAUGCUCCUGCCAUUUUUAUGGACUUAAUGAACUGAAUUUUCAGACCGUACUUGGAUAAGUUUGUAGUUGUGUUCAUUGAUGAUAUCUUGAUUUAUUCUCAUGAUGAGACUGAGCAUGCAGAGCAUUUGAGAACAGUUUUACAGAUUCUAAGAGAUAAUCAGUUGUAUGCCAAGUUCAGCAAAAGUGAGUUCUAGUUAUGAGAAGUUGGUUUUCUUAGACAUAUUGUCUCAGGUGAAGGUAUUAAGGUUGAUCCGAGCAAGAUUUCAGCCAUUGUUGAUUGGAAACCUCCUAGAAAUGUAUCAGAAGUUAGAAGUUUUCUUGGUCUUGCCGGAUAUUAUAGAUGAUUUGUAGAGGGAAUUUCCAUGAUAGCUAUCCCACUGACAAGAUUACUGCGAAAGGAUGUCAAGUUUGAAUGGACUGAGAAGUGUCAACAGAGUUUUGACAAGUUAAAAGCAUUGUUGACUAAAGCUCCUGUUUUAGUACAACUAGAACCAGGUAAGGAGUUUGUGAUUUACAGUGAUGCGUCCAUGAAUGGACUUGGUUGUGUACUUAUGCAGGAAGGGAAGGUAAUUGCUUAUGCCUCUAGACAGCUAAAGCCACAUGAGAAGAACUAUCCGACACAUGAUUUAGAGCUAGCUACCAUUAUUUUUGCGUUGAAGAUUUGGAGACAUCAUUUGUACGGUGAGAAGUGCCACAUAUUCACUGAUCACAAAAGUUAGAAAUAUUUGAUGACUCAAAAAGAUUUGAAUUUGAGGCAAAGAAGAUGGUUAAAGUUGAUUAAAGAUUAUGAGCUAGUGAUCGAUUAUCACCCAGGUAAGGCAAACGUUGUUGCUGAUGCUUUGAGUAGGAAAUCUUUAUUUGCAUUAAGAGCUUUGAACACUAGUUUAGCCUUAUCAGAUGAUGGUUUUAUCUUAGCUGAGUUGAGAGCUAAACCGAUGUUUCUUGAAGAAAUUUGUGAAGCUAAAAAAAAUGACAGUGAGUUGUUAGCCAAAAGAGAUCAGUGUGAGUCAGAUAUAGAGUCAGAUUUUCAAAUCAGUUCUAACGGUUGUUUGAUGUUCCAAGACAGGGUAUGCGUACUGAAGAAUGAUGAGCUUAUUCGAAAGAUCUUACAGGAAGCACAUAGUAGUUCUUUGUCUAUUCAUCCAGAUAGUACAAAGAUGUAUAAUGAUUUGAAGAAAAUGUACUGGUGGGUAGGAAUGAAAAGGGACAUUUCAGAGUUUGUUUUUAGAUGCUUGAUCUGUCAGCAGGUAAAGGCCGAACAUUAGGUACCUUCAGGUUUAUUCAGCCUGUGCUAGUCCCUGAGUGGAAAUGGGAUUGAGUUGCUAUGGAUUUUGUGACAGGAUUGCCGUUUACACCGAGAAAGAAAGAUGCAGUAUGGGUUGUGAUUGAUAAGUUAACGAAGUCGGCUCAUUUUAUCCCAGUUCGUAUGGAUUAUUCACUUGACAAGUUGGCCGAGUUGUAUAUUUCAGAGAUAGUCAGACUACACGGGGUACCAUUAUCGAUCAUUUCAGAUAGAGAUCCAAGAUUUACUUCACGAUUUUGGAAGAAAUUACAGAAGGCUUUGGGCACUAAGUUGAGUUUUAGUACAGCUUUCCAUCCUCAAACCGACAGUCAGUCAGAGAGAGUUAGGUACUUGAAGAUAUGCUUAGAUGUUGUGUACUGGAAUUUCAAGGUAGUUGGGAAAAAUAUUUACCAUUAGUAGAGUUUGCCUACAAUAAUAGUUAUCAGUCGAGUUUGAAGAUGGCACCUUUUGAAGCUUUGUAUGGACGUAAAUGUCGCACACCUUUGUAUUGGACAGAGCUUAAGGAAAAUCAGAUUUACGGGGUUGAUCUAGUUAAGGAAACAGAAGAGAAAGUAAAAAUCAUCAGAGAUUGCUUGAAAGCAGCUUCAGACAGACAAAAGUCGUAUGCAGAUUUGAAGAGAAAAGAGAUUGAGUAUCAAGUUGGUGACAAAGGUUUUUUGAAAGUAUCCCUGUGGCAGAAAGUUCUCAGAUUUGGCAAGAAAGGCAAACUAAGUUCACGUUUUAUUGGACCGUUUGAAGUGAUUGAGAGAGUCGGACCAUUAGCAUAUCGGUUAGCUUUGCCGAUUGAGUUAGAGAAGAUUCAUAAUGUAUUUCAUGUGUCUAUGCUACGUCGUUAUCAUUCAGAUCUGUCACAUGUGAUUUCUCAGACAGAGGUUGAGAUUCAGCCAGACAUGACUUACGGUGAAGAACCGGUAAAGAUUCUAGCUCGAGAGGUAAAACAAUCAAGGAACAAAAGUAUUGCAGUUGUGAAAGUACUAUGGAAUAGACAUGGGGUAGACGAGGCUACAUGGGAACCCGAAGAGGCUAUGCGAAAACAGUACCCAAAUCUCUUCACAGGUAAGAUUCUCGGGGACGAAAAUCCUUAAAGGGGGGAGAAAUGUAACAUCCCAAAAUAGGGCCAAAACGGAAUAGUGGUUGCGAAACCAUAAAUUCGAGGUAUAAAAAUUUAUUUUAUUAUUAUUUUGAGGUUCAUGAUAUGAUUGCAUGAUUGUGUGAAAAUUUCGUGAUGAAAUUCUCUGCAUAAAAUGCUUAAGUUGAGAUUAGGGACUAAAUCGAAUAAUUUGCAAAACUUGCAUUCUAGAAGAUUUUAGUAUAAAAUUGCUUUGGAAUAUUAAUUAGGAGGGUUUAAAUAACAAUUUGACCAAUUUCUAAGUUCAUGGACAAAAUAGGACAUGGAUGGAAUUUUUAAAAGUUUAAUAAGGAAGGGCAUUUUGGUCAUUUGGAUAUUAAAUGAAAUAAAAAGGGAAAAAUAAUACAAAAUUCAUCAUCUUCUUCAUUAGCACGAAAUUUAAAGGGUUCUCCAUAUCUAGGGUUUGUUUCAAGCUUUCAAGCUCCAUAGUAAGUGAUUCCAAGCCCCGUUUUUAAUGUUCCUUAUGUUUUCGGAGUCCCGGUAGCUCGAUAAAGCUUAUGCUAACAAUAAUUUAAGUUAGGGUUCAUAUUUGGAAAAAUACUCAUAGGUGAAAAGUGUUUAUUUUGAUGUUUUAUGAUAUAAUAUGAGGUUUUAAAUUAUGUUAGACAACUUGUGCUACUCGGUUUUAAGUGAAAACGACUAAAAUGGCUUAAUCGGUAAAAAUACCUAAUAGUCAUAAGUACAUGUUAGAGUGUGAAUUUGAUGUUGUCAUAGAAGGGAAAAUGAUCAGCAUGUCAUAAAACAUAAGAAAAUAAGAUGAAGUUUAAAUUACGAGCCUUGGGGAAAAAGUGUAAAUAUGCAAAAGUUUAGGGGCAAAAAUGUAAUUUUUCCAAAGUUUGGGUCAAGAACUGUUUUGAUAAUUGUGAAUAUUAAAUAAGUUAAAUUUGCUAUUAUAGAUCAAGAAGAGCAAAAUUCGAGAGUAGAUCGGGGAAAAGAAAAAGUAAAGGACUAAAUUGUAAAGUUUAGUCACAUUUUGUAUCGAGGUAAGUUUACAGUAAAUAAAUGCAAUAUUCUUUUAUUUUACAUUAUUAUUGUCAAUUUCUAGCAUUUAUAUACUUAUUUUUUUGAGAAUAUUUAAAGUCGAAUUAAAGGCAAAGUGACAGAGAAAAAGCAUUAGGAAGCCCCGUUUGAACCUUAGGAAUGUUAGGAUAUUGGGGUUGACAGGAAAGGACAGGACAGAAAUGAGCCAUGUAAGUCCAUAUCAGAUAUAUGGCUUUGGAGACAGGAAUGAGCCAUGUAAGCCCAUCUUAGACAUAUAUAUGGCAUUGGAGACAGGAAUAAUUCAUGUAAGUCCAUGUCGAAGACAUGGCAUUGGCAGGAUAUUGAUAGACAAGAACGACCAUAGUAUCCUUAGUAUUCCGAGUGGUUCAACGGGUCAUUGUACACGUUAAAUUAUAGUGAAUUAUCAACAAAAGGGAAGGUAGAUUAUAUUUAUGAAUAGUGAAAGGUCAGGCAAGAAAGAAGGUAAGUGAGUAAAGAAAAAGGUAGAAAAUGAGAAGUAAAGAAAGUUUAUGAGGCUAGGUGACAUUAUGUAUAAUUAUUCAUCAUGUUGAAUGUUGUCAUUUAUUUACUUGUAAGCUUACUAAGCCUAGUGCUUACUCUCUUUAUUUUCUUUUUCUUAUAGAUUUUAUCAAGCCACUCGGGGAUCGAAGGAAACGUCAGAGACCCGAUCACACUAUCGAAGAAAUCACAUUGGUAUAGUUAGACGUUUCGUUUUGUGUAUGGCAUGUAUAGGAACUUGGUUUCUUUUGAUAUGAUAUGAUCAAUGAAUGAUGUGUAAAUACUUGCUAGUGAUUAGCUAAUAGAAUGGCUGAUGAUAUACAUGUUUAAUAGUAUGUAUGAUUAAGUAGUAACUAUCACAUGAAAACUAUGAAAAAUGUGAAAGUAACUUAAAAACGAAUUCAAGUAUCAGAAAUAAUGUGACUUUGAAAAAUCACAAAAAUAUUGUAGAGAUAUGGUUUGAUGGUGAAUAAUAUAUGAAAUUAAAUCUAUUUGUGUCUAUUUUCAUAUGGAAUAAGAAAAUCAGGUAAAGGUUUUGUAUUUUAUAAGAUAUCUGAGUUUUAGUGAAAUAGGGCCAGAGCGAUUUUUGGAUCCCCUGUUCCAAAUUUGGAAAUUCACCAUAAAUUUUAAAAAAAUAAAUAUGUGGUUUACUUUAUAUGGUUAGAAUUCUUAUUGAAUCUAGUUUUAAUAGAAACAAACGGUAUAGUCAUAUGAAUUUUGUACAGGGAGAAAAGUGGUUCGUAGUAAGUAAAGGUCAGUGCAGUCAAAUUCUAAAAUAGGGGUAACAUUAACUAAUAAACUGUACUAAUUGGCUAAGUCAAAAAUUCUAGAAAACAAUUAGUAGAUAUAUAUAUGAGUCUAGUUUCAGCAAAAAUUUACGGAUCUUAAUUUUGAGUUUUGAAACUCGAGAAAUGAAUUUUUAAGCAACCAUGACGCAGAAAAAUAGUUUAUUCCGAAAAUUAAAAUAAGUGGUUUAGAGUUGUUUAAAAGGUAAGAUAAGUUUAGUAACACCUCAAGCUUGACUCUGGUGACGGUUUCGAGCAUGGGGGCAUUACAAGGAAGACCGAUAAACCUUGGCACAUUAUUUCUAGGUUGGAUAGAGGCUUCAACAUAAGCAACGAAUCUGAGAAAAACUUCUUUGGCCAUGAAAAUUGUUGAAAGUUCAACAAUGAUCUUUUCAAAUUGUUUGGAUUUCCUAUUAGUCCACAAUACAUGAAAUCUUUCUCUGGCAUGUGUAACAGUAGCAUGAAUUUGUCUGUUGAUAGCAUAACUUAAAUCACCAUCAUCAUCAUUGGAAGGAACAAAGUCGAAUUGUGGGAUAAGGUUGUGUUGGAAAAAUUCAGUUUAAGAAAAUUUUUUAUUGUAACAGUAGAAGUUUAAAAAAAUUCUAAACCGAGCUGAUUUAUGAUAUUUAUAACAAAAUUUUUUUACUGAAAAGUACUUGUCUUUGUGCAAUACAAAUUUGAAUUGUUCUCAGCUUUCAACUGAACAACCUUCUUUGCUAUCAUCAUACCCUAAAUUGCCCCGAGUGUGAGCUCAAGCAGCAUGAAUCAAAUACAAAACAAGAAACAAUUUUAUUACUUUCAGUAGGAAAAUAAUUCUCUUUAUAGAAAUUGGUAGAAAUUGUAAUUCCCAAAAACUGGAAUUUAUUCGAAGAAAAUAAAUUCUCACUACAUUUUGGUAGAAUAACAAUAUAUGAGAACUUGUAUAAAUACCUCUACCAAUGCCAUCUCUUUAUAAGGAAAGAUAGGAGAGUCAAGGUUGAAUAAGAAUUACACAAAUAAUAUUUAUUUAAUAGAAAACACAUCCUUACUCUAAGUAGAGUAGGGGUGGGAAACACACUCUAGAUAAUAACACUAGGGUUGUCGCCCCCUUUCAUGUAAAAUGAGGGGGGUUUAGGUCUUUCCUGUAUUGAGUCUAAUUAUAUGUGCUUCUUGAACUUUGACCUAGGACUUUAUAAUUUAAUUCAACUCAAUAUUUAUUUUUUGUUUCCCAAAAUAAAUAUUAUUUAUUUAAUUAAUUUAAUUAAUCAAAUUAAGAAAAUUAAUUUUCAAAUUAAAUAAUUUUCUCAACCCUUCUAAUUCUAUUAAGGUCCAGAUAAUUUACCGUAAAAGAAUUUAUGAGGAAAUAUAUUUAAUUUUCAUAUUCGACAAAUUCAUAAUGACUGAUUGAUUUAAUUUCAUUUUUGAAAUUUAUUAUUUAAUUAUAAUUAAUUAAAUAAUAAUUUAGAAACCUCAAAUUAUUUCUCAAGUAAUUUCUAUACUUAGUGAGAAAAUGCAUUCAUUUGUGAAUGCGACUCAUUUCUCUAAUUUCAUUAUUUCCAUUCAUUUUAUUUCAUUUAGUUCUCUAUCCAAUUCAUUUCUAGUUUCAACGAGCUAGCAGAGGGACUGAUUUAACAUAUAUAAUGUAACACCCCAAACCCAGCCCAGCCAUUAUGGCCAAGUCUGGUGUGUCACAUUAAAGUGUUUUUCGAAAACCAUGUUUUCAUUGAAAACCCUUCUUGAUGUUUAGAAACUUUUGCCGUUUAAACUUGUAAACCUUUAUAGUGGCAGAAACAUGUUAUAUUAAAAACAGUUAAGUAUCGAAAAAUCAAACCUUCUUUGUUAUGGCUUAAAGUGAAUGGAUACUACGCACCAGGUAGGAUUCAAGAAAAGAGGAGGUGAGUCAAUUAGACUGCUUAAGUGUCUAUUUCUUCCAUGAUCCAAUCCUAGACAUGCACACAUCCAUUGCUACAGUUUAAGCUUAUUACUUGUCCACGAACAACAAAUUAAGUUUAAGUCUAUUUAAAAUAUUUAUUUCCUUUGAAAACAUUUACGUUGCGGAAGCUUUGCUCGGUUAUCUUGAUAUUUUGAAAAUAAGUAACUUUUAUAAAAUGCGCCCUAGAGCUAACCAAUUUUAAGGAAUCAAUUUAAGUGAUGUGAAUCUUAAGUUGAAACGAUUUAAGUAAUUUAAAAACCCAAAAUAAAAAUAAUAGAGCGGCCUUAUUACAACUUUAACCAAAAUAGAAUAAUAAAAAAUAAAUGCGAAAUUUAAAAGGAAGCUAAUUGAAAUUUAUUUAAAAACUAGAAAUUUAAUCUUCGUGGCCACUCUGAAUCCCGCUCAGCUCCAAGUCCACCAACUAGGGCUCACCUGCAAGGAUGGAAGAGAAGGGGGGUGAGUUUGGAAAACUCAGUGUGUAUGGAAAACCCAUCCAAAGCCCAAGUCAGCUCAAGCCCAUUGGGCCUAAGCCCUAUUCAGAUAACAGCGGGUACUGGGCCGAAGCCCUUUUCAGAAUACAGUAAACUAGGCCUUAGCCCAUUUUCAAAUAACAGUAUGGCCCAUAGGCCCAUUCUAGAACAGAACAGACAUAUUCGUGUAUGCAAGCCCAACCCAGCCUAUAACCAACCGCUACACUCCACCCGUACCAGCCCUACACUCCAUGUAGGGAAUAGCUCAACCCACCCAGCCCUACACUCCACAGUUGCAGCAUUGCUGCUCAGAUAUCAGUAGUUUAGGCAAAGCCUCCAGUACGUGGACAAGCCACUUUCAGUACUUCCUCCAUCAAUAACCCAGUCCCAUGCAUCAGAUGAUAAUAACAUGGCAUGCAGUAAAUAGUAACAGUCUAACAUGCAUUCAGGUCAACCUUAACCCUAGGGGUAAAUCUGUAAAUUUUUCACCUAUAAAGGUAUUUCAAUAGUUUUAUCAGUUUUAAGGGUUCUCAUGAAUGUUACGGUCCUUACUAGCCCAUUUGUCAUCGCAAUAAUUUAUUUAUCUCAAUUUCACAAUUUUAGCCAUUGGACCCUAAAACCCCUAAUGGGCCCUACAGUGUCCACUAGCAAUUUAAGCCCAUUUAAUUCAAGUUUUAUGACCACUUUACCGGUUUAAUCAGUUUCAAUUCUACAGUCUAACAGAACAUACUUAUUUCCUUUUUUUAUUUCUUUACCCGUAUGGGCCCGUAAGCCCAUUGGGCCCAGUUUUAGCCUCUCGAGGCCCAAUUACUGAAGUGCACGAAAUUUCACACACGACUAACUUACCACUUUGCGAUUUCAGAUCUAAUGAUUUCAAAAUGUCUUGUGAGCACUUGCACACUCACAAGCCCACGAAAUGCCAGAAUUUUGGUAUUUCGGCUUUUGCCGAAUUGAACUAUGAGAGGGUAUUCGAUACACACCUGAUUUAGAAUGGUACGUUGGUGAGAUCCACACACACGAACUGCCUACAAUUGGAUUACUACCACGUCAAUCUAAAUAUCAAAAACAAACUACAUUUUUAACCCCUUACCAUAUUCGGCCAACAAAGCCUUAGAUCCUAGAGUUCUUUACCUUUUGCUGAAAUAUGGGUUAGUUCUGAAGAGCCAACCGAAUUAGUCUUCAAGCCCUUUUUUGUAGGUCCCCUUGCUCACGCUAACGCUUACACAACCAAAUAGAAAGAGGCACAAAACCCUUAGUCCAAAAUGCUAGCCACCCAUAAGGGUUUCAGCUUUUCGUAUCUGCCGAAAUAAAGAAAUAGUUUCGAAAACUUACCACCGUUUCCUUCAGCCAACGAUUCCACUUUAGUUCUUAUUCGAUUCUGAUGUAUAUCUAACCUUCAAACCCUAGCAGAAGUCAGUCCUUUCCUGGUCUAAAGAUUCGACUAUACCCCUAAACUAUGGGGUUUUCGGCUUUUUGAAACAGUAAAGAAGAUGAGAUAUGAGAGUUUUGUAGUGGCUUUGUCAACAAAACUUUAGGGUUUAGAAGAAGAAAGAAUCAGCCACAAGAUGGAGAAGAAUUAGAGGGUUUGGCUAGGAGAAAUCGGCACAGAAGAAAUAUAGGCUUUUGGGAUUUCGGCUUUUGUGUAUAAAGCUUAGGAACGAAUGAUUAGAAAGUAGAGAUGAGUAAAAUAGCAGAAGGAUUCGGCUAUGGAGGAAAAGAAGAAGAGAAAGUAGAUGAUGAGAAAAGAAAAGAAAAGAAAAGAAAAGAAAAAGAAAAAACUGAAUCCUAAAGGCCAAAUAUACGGCACUUAUUAGCUAUGGCCGAGUGAGUGUAUUUCGGCAUAAGAAUUCUUCCUAAAUUUCAAUUCCCUGAAUUGCUCCUUGAUUUUUGGCCAUAUUCAAUGUUUGAAUUCCAUUCAAACUCUUGACCGAUCAGCCCACCGUUUCCACCACCUCAGGCAUGCUGCCAAGAGUCCCAAUCAGACCCCAACUCCUUCCCCACGCAUGCAGCAAAAAUCCCAACCUUGUGUGCAUGAGAUGAAGCUUGAACCCCAGACCUCCGUCCGCCUUGCGCCCGAGCUGCUAGCCUCUGUACCACGUUUUCUCCCUUACUAAUAUAUGGUUACAAUUAAUUAUAAACCUUACCUGCUUCAGUUCUGGCCUGCUUUAAAAAUAAAAUAGAAUUCGUCCGCGCAAGGACUCAAACCUGCACCCUCUCCGCAUGCCCAGCACGCUGCUGCCACUGCGCCACAGGCACUCCUUGUAGCAUAACUCGGUUGCAACUAUUCUUGAACCUUACUUUAGUGCGAUCUGGCUUCUAAAAUAAAAACAAGCCUUUGUGUGCGCCAACCCUCGAACCUAGGCACUAUACCACACUCCCAACGCCUCUACCACUGGACCGAGCUUCCCUUUGUGUUACAUUUUAACCCCAACUAUAUAUUAGGCUUCCCUGCGUCGUUCCCUGAUAUUUAGAAAAAUAAAACACUUUUGCACAUGCUGGGAGUUGAACCACAGCUCUCCUUCUCACUACCUAGCAUGCUAACCACUGGGCCAGGUACACUUCUUCAUGCCCAUUCUUGCCCAAUUUAUUUUAUAAGCCUUAUGCCCAGAUUCCCUCUAUGAGGCAAAAAUUAAAACAAUUUUUCUCCUAGAGUUUAAACCCCAAAACAACAAUACUUUUAUAAAUAUAUAUGUAUUUUUUUCUUUCCUAUCUAAUAAUAAAAAUUUUAUAAAUAUAUUUAAUAAUAAAAAUUUCAAAUAUCACUAAUACAGUAAAUAACAAUAACAUUCAUAAAAUUUUUCAAACAUACAUACAGUAAUAUUUUUCUAAUAAUAAUAAUUUUAUCUCAUAAUACUAAUUAAAAUUUGAUAAAAAUUUAAAAUAUCCGUAAUAAUAAAUACAGUAAAAAAUUUUCUAGUAGUAAUUUAAUUCAAAAUUUUUCCUUAAACGAUAAUAUUUAAAACUUCUUAAUUAUUCAGGUUUUCUUCUAUCCGAAUCCCAGACUCAAAACCCAACUCUUCUAGGCCCCAAAUUCAGGGUGUUACAUAUAAUUUGUAACGCCUCGAUUUUUGGUCCCGGAAGUAUUGGGCCCUGAGUCUGGGUUCAAGUGGAAAACGGCCCGAAUAAUUCGGAUGUUAUUAUUAUUUCGUAUGUUUAGUUUAGUAAUUAAAUAAAUUACGAAGGGUUUAUGGUGUAGGAAAAAAGGCCUAAGAGUAAAUUUAAUUGAGGCAAUUCCUGAAAUUUAAUUUUGGGAGAGAGGGUUCUGGCGAUAUGGGCUUUUAAAGUUGAGGUGGUAAAUAGGACACAAAAAGAUUUAUGGUAAAGUGGCAUGUGGCUCCACGUAGGUGUUUGGGGAGUGACAUGUGGAUGUUUAGGGGGAGCCAGAGUUCAAGUCACAAGGUAAGUGUAUUGUUACUUUUAUUUUUUUUUGUGCAUGUGCCGGGCAUGUGAUAGAGCUUAAGUGGAAAUUCGGUUAGGGCUUUAGGAAGGUUGGGCCGUGGGUCUGAAUGGCCAUUAGGGCAAGCUUUAUUUUCUUUUUGUUUUGCUGAAUUAGGGUUAGCCACCUAGAGCCUUCCCUUUCAUUCUAUUCUCUUCUCAGUAUCUCAAAAAGCCGAAAAAUGAAAAGUUAGAUCUCCUGAGUGCCGAAUUCUUCCUUCUCUUCUCCUCUCUUCUUCUAUUUUCUUUUUCUCCUUCUUUUCUUCUCUAGCCGAAACAUUCCUACCAUUCUACUCAUCUCCUCUUUCAUUCCCAUUCUUUUCUAAACCUCUAUAGCCGAUUUCCAUAAAAGCCGAAAUCCCGAAAGUUGUUUCUUGUGUCGAUUUCUCCUGGCCAAAAUUCUCAUAUUUUCUUCAUUUAUUUUGGCCUAUUUUCACAUUCUCUAAACCUCAACCCCUGUCGACAAUACCACUGCAAAAUCACCAUACCAAAUCAUCUUCCUCUUCACAGUUCUAAAAGUUGAAAACACCAUAGUUUUUAGGGACAUAUAAUCGAAUCUUUAGAUCUCUAAGAUUCGAUUUCUGCUAGUGUUUAAGGGCUGGAUCUGCAUCAUAUCUGAGUAGAAACUGAAGUGGAAUCGUUUUGGUUGAAAGAACCUGUGGUAGGUACUCAGAUCUAUUCUUUAUUUCGGGUUUUAGAAAAGCCAAAAUCCCUAAAGGCAUAGGGAGGCUGUCGAUUGGAGCUUAAGGCUCUAAGGGUUCUAACAAUUGAUUUGUUUUGGUGUUAGUGUGAUCUAGAGGCUGCUGAUCGAAAGCUUGGACAAGUGGAACGACUAGAUCGAGAUCUAGUCACUAGUUUUGGCAAAGGUAGGAUCUUAAGGGCCAUAUGUAUUAAUGGCUGAUUAUGGUAAGUAAGUUUAUGAUGGUUGCCAUUGUAUUUUGGAUCUGAUAUGUCUAGUGACCGAUUGUAGGAUAUCCUGGGUGAUUUCGGUAGCAGUUGUUGCAAAUCAGGUGUGUAAACGACACCCACUAGUAGACUAGAUCGGCAAAAGCUGAAAAGCCGAAAUGCCGAAAAGCUGACAUUUCGAGAACUUGCGAGCGUGCGAACGCUCGUGGGAUUGUUUGUAUUGAUAAUUUUGGUAACUUCAAAGGUAAGAUAGCAAAGUACGCAAUUUCGUGCACCUCGAUGAAUUUGGGCUUCGGUGGGCCAAAAUUGGGUAAUGGGCUAACGGACCAUUUCAGUAAAAACGUCCGGUAAGUAUUCUGAAGACACGUUAAUAACUGUAAUGAUCUUGAAACCCUAAAAAGAUUGAUAAAAUUAUUGAAAUACCUCUGUAAGGUAGAAUUACCAUAAUACCCUUAAAGGGGUAAGUUUACGAUUAUGCCCCUCGAGGGUAAAUAACUAUUCUUACGCUAUAAUCUGACUGUCUUUCUGAAGCAUGCCUUGUUAAUUAUAUAUAUUCUGCAUACAUGUCAUACUGCAUGGGGUUGGGUUUUGUUAUGGAGGAAGAACUCGUUCUGGUGGCUGUGCCACAUAUUCUGAUAUAAGCAGCUUUGCUGCGGAUUAUAGUUAGUGCCGCAACUGGUGCUAACAAUGUAAGUGUAGGGAUGGCGUGGGUGAUUUAUUCCCCAUAGGAAGUGUAGGGAUGGACGGAGGCAAGUGCAGGGUUGGAUGGGGUUAUCAUGCAUUAAUCAUAUGAGACUGUUUUGUUGUGGGCCAACUGUAUUGAAAUGGGCCCAACUGUGUUAAUAUGGGCAAGGCCCAACAUAUCUCGACUUGUAAUAGGGUUAUGGCCCAGAUUGACACUGAUAUGGGCUAGGCCCAGUAUACUCUGAUACUGUAAGGGGCUAUGGCCCAGAUCAAUAUUGAUAUUGUGACACACCUAAAGUGACCCUAGUCGGAAAGCGGUUUCAGGACCGCUAAACCGAGUCACCAAAUUAUUUGAAUGUGAUAUUUAUUGUCUAAAAUAUGUGAUUAUGAAGGUGUGAAAGUUUUAGGCUUCGAUUUAGUAAAUUGCAUGUGAAUUUAGUCAAAAGGACUUAUGGGUGACAUUUUUGAAAUGUGAUAGGCUAAUCUACAAGGACCUAAUAGUGCAUGUAAUCAAAAGGGAGGACUUGCAUGUCAAUUUUCCCCCCCUAAUAUGUAGUGGCCGGCCAUGAGCAUGGGUGGACAAGAUGUUAUGGCUAAAAACAUGUCAUAAACAUGUUGGGGUAGUGCAUUAUGUAAGGAUUAAUAAAAUAAAGAGCAUGGGUGGACAAGAUGUUAUGGCUAAAAACAUGUCAUAAACAUGUUGGGGUAGUGCAUUAUGUAAGGAUUAAUAAAAUAAAGGGCAUGGGCAAUAAAAUAUUAGUGUUAGUAGGAUGAGAAACAAAAAGAAAAGAAAAGAAAGGAUGUGUGUGAUUGUCCCCCCCAUUGCCGUGAGUGAAGAAAAGAAAAAAAAAGAAAAUUUGUUCAUCCUCUUUCAUUUCUUUUGGCCGAAAAUUCUAAGGAAGAAGGAAGGAGUUCUUGCUUCAUGUUUGGUUUGGAAGAGGAUUAGGAGGAGGUUUGGCCAUACUUGUAUCUAGAUUAAGCUCAAGAGCUUAGAGGACUAAAGUUGGAUAAAGGAAAGGAAAAAAAGUGAUCGAAUAGCCGCCGAAAUCGUUCGACAACAUCCGAGGUAAGUUUUAAGUGAUUAAACGUUGAGUAAAUUCAAUCAUAAUAGGGCAUAAUGAGUUGAUUUAAUAAGAUAUGAUGUGGCCAUGAUAUGUCUUAAACUCAAAUGGUAAGUUCAUAUGUGUUUGGACUUGGAAAUUUAAGAGCAAAUUGUAAUAAUUUGCUUUGGACAGCAGCAGUAACGUGAUUUUAGAAAAUCACUAUAAAUUGUUGGUGUGGAAUUAUAGGCUGAAUAAAAUAUGUAAUCAAGGCUUAAUUAGUCUAGUUUCUUAUAAAAGAGACCUUGUGAGCAAAGAAAUUUCCUAUAAAGAGAUAUUUAAAGUUGUGUGAGACGGUGUCAGAAUGACUCCGAAAUCCCCUGUUCUGUUUUUAGAAAAUCAUUAUAAAUUGUACAAAAAUGGUUAUAAGAUAAAAUUUAUAUGCUUAGACUCCUUAAUGAGUCUAGUUUCAAAUGAAAUCAAAUACAACACAUUUUGAAUUCUGUAAAAUGAGAAAUUUGAUUCGUAGUGAAGAGUGGUCAGAUUAGUCAAAUAGUGAAACAGGGGAAACUUUAAGAAAAAUCUGGUAUUGAUUGGCCAAACCUAAAAUUCUGGAAAUUUUAUGUAUGGAAGAUAUACGAGUCUAUAUUCAGGAAAAAUUAACGGCAAGUGAUUUGGAGUUUUGUAGCUCCGGUUAUAAAUAAUUUAGUGACCAUUGCUCAGGAAAACAGCUCGUAGUGAAUAUGUGAUUUUGUUGUAAACAUGGAUAAAACUUGUUUUAGUUGCUCAUAAGCUAUUGAUUAAACCCAUACUUUAAUUCUAAAUCGUGAUAUUGUAAGCUUAUGAGUAUUCGAAUAUGAAAUGAUAGUAUGGCGUAAAAUUGAAUUAUUCAUUGGAAAGUGUAUAUAUGUGAUAAGGCCUAAUGGCCAAUGUGAUGAAUGUGAACAUGUGUAUGUGUGAUAAGGCCGAAUGGCCAAUGUGAUGAAUGUGAACAUGCAUAUAUGAGAUAAGGCCGAAUGGCCAAUGUGAUUAAUGUGAACAUGUGUAUGUGUGAUAAGGCCGAAUGGCCAAUAUGAUGAAUGUGAACAUGUGUAUGUGUGAUAAGGCCGAAUGACCAAUGUGAUGAAUGUGAACAUGCAUAUAUGAGAUAAGGCCGAAUGGCCAAUGUGAUGAAUGUGAACAUGUGUAUGUGUGAUAAGGCCGAAUGGCCAAUAUGAUGAAUGUGAACAUGUGUAUGUGUGAUAAGGCCGAAUGGCCAAUGUGAUGAAUGUGAAAGUGUAUAUAUAUGUGAUAAGGCCGAAUGGCCAAUGUGAUGAAUGUGAACAUGUGUAUGUGUGAUAAGGCCGAAUGGCCAAUGUGAUGAAUGUGAAAGUGUAUAUAUAUGUAAUAAGGCCGAAUGGCCAAUGUGAUGAAUGUGAACAUGUGUAUGUGUGAUAAGGCCGAAUGACCAAUGUGAUGAAUGUGAACAUGCAUAUAUGAGAUAAGGCCGAAUGGCCAAUGUGAUGAAUGUGAACAUGUGUAUGUGUGAUAAGGCCGAAUGGCCAAUGUGAUGAAUGUGAACAUGUGUAUGUGUGAUAAGGCCGAAUGGCCAAUGUGAUGAAUGUGAACAUGCAUAUAUGAGAUAAGGCCGAAUGGCCAAUGUGAUGAAUGUGAAAGUGUAUAUAUGUGAUAAGGCCGAAUGGCCAAUGUGAUGGAUGUGGAAGUGUAUAAAUGUGAUAAGUCCCAAAGGGCAAUUGUGUCAGUACUAUAUCCGGGUUAAAACCCCGCAGGCUUUAUGCGAGAAUAUUAUCCUGAUUAAUGUCCGUAGGCUUCGUGCUCGUACUAUAUCCGAGCUUUAAAGACCCGGCGGCUAAAUGCUAGGAUUCAAGUAAGACUUUGAUAUUGAGUAUCUGCAUUAAGUUACCAUGAAAUAAGUAUUAUGUAUUCAAGAUGUUCAGGUACGUAUUACUUACUCAUCGGUGGAGUGAUUUCGAGGUGAAUUAUCAGUAUCAAAGAGGUAGGUAAAUGUGAUUAAUAUUAUAACUCCAAAUGUGAGAAUGAUCUAAUUGGUAUUGGUAUGUUUGUAUAAUAAAGUAUGCGAUGAAAUAUUCUUAUGUAUUAGUGCAUAUUCUGCCCAAAAGCCUUAUGAUCUGAGUAUGGGUUGGGUUGAGCUAGAUGUGCCAGUACAAGGUAAGGAUUAUGAUUUGUAAGCUUACAUAUAUGUGAUAAGGAAUAUGUUGGUUCUUUAUGUGCCUAUGGUAAUUUAGUACUUGUCAUGUUGAAAUACUUAAAAGUAUGGAUGUGAUUAUGAACAAGUGGAAAGGAUUAUUGAAAGUUGAAAAUCGAUGAAGAAUGUGCUUUGGAAAUAUUUGACCAUCUAGGUCAUUAUUAUUCGAAAGUAUAUAUGUGGCAGCCAAGUGUUGCGUUUAAUGAUAUUAUAGAUCGAGAUGAAGCUCUAGAUUAACUUCAUCGAACAGUUGAAAUGAAUGACCAAUGAUAGUGAUUGAGAACACUUUGUUUUGCUUAAAACUUACUAAGCAUUAAAUGCUUACUCCGUUCUUUGAAUCUCUGUUUUAUAGAUUUUGGUUCGUCAGCUAUUGGACUCGGGAUUAUUGAAGUCAAAGUCGCCCACACUAUCAAAACCCUUUUGGUACACUUUUGGUUGAACUCUGAAAAUGGCAUGUAUAGGACUACCCUUUUGUUGUUGGUCAUGUACCCUUCGGUUUUGUAUAAUUUUGGAUAGCCAUGCGAAAAUGGCUUAUAUAUGUUUGAGCAUAAUGUUAUAAUCAUUUGGUAUGGAUAUGGUUAUUGAGAGGUGUGGAUAUGCUUAACAAGUAUUGGCCAUGGGAAUGGUUAAUCACUAUCAUAAUUUGUGCUAUUUAUGAUAAAAGGGCUAGUUGAAUCAUGGAAACUAUGAAAUAGGUAAAGUCUACCUUAAAGGCAGAUGCUGACAGCAGCAGUGAUGUAGAUUUGGAAAAUCACUAAAAAUAGUAGGAAUGGAAUUAAAUAGUGAAUAAAUUAUUUAAAUGAACUUGAUGAAUCCACUUUCAUAUGGAAGAAACAAAACAGUCAUAUGAGUGGUAUGUUAAGAGAUAAUUAGGUUUUCGUGAAACAGGGCCAGAACAGUUUCUGGAUUCCCUGUUCCUACUUUGGAAAUUCAUUAUAAAUUAACCAGAGAUAAUUAGGAGUCAUGCCAUAUAUGUAUAGAUUCCUCUAUGAGUCUAGUUUCUAUAGAAACAAACGACAUCAGUAUUGAAUCCCUGUACAGGGAGAUAUCAAAAUUGAAAUGCAUGAAGGUCAGUGUAGACGCACCCUGUAAUAGGGGAGACUUUAACUAAUAAAAUUUACUAAUUGGCCUGACCAAAAAUUCUAGAAAACAAUAUGUAGAUGGAAAUAUGAGUCUAGUUUCAGGGAAAAAUCACAAAAAUGAUUUUCAAGUUGUGAAACUCAAGAUAUGAUUUUUAAAGUGAUAGCGACACAGUUAGCCAGCUGUCUGGAAAUUUUUAAAAUGGACUGCGAUAGUAAGCGAAUUUAGUCUGUGAACCCCUCGUGUCUGACUCCGGCAACGGUCUCGGGUACGGGGCAUUACAGAUAUGGGAUAAGACCCAAUUAACUCUGAUUUCUGAAUAGGGCUUAGGCCCAGUAGAGCUUGAACUGAUUUAGGCUCUAGUUGGGUUUACUUUACACACUGAGUUUUCCAAACUCACCCCCUUUUUCCCAUCUUUGCAGCUGAGCCUUAGAUCGGUGGACUUAGAGCUGGAGGGAUUCAGAGUGGCCAUGUGGACUGUUUAAAAUAAGUGUUUAUACCUUCACUUUUAUUUUAGAUUAUUUCCUUUAUGUUUUCGGGUUUUAAUUUGUAAUAAGGCCGCUUUAAUUAUUUUUAGUUGUUUUUAGUAUGUUUUGUUAGGUUAGAUAUGAUAUUGUUUUAACUGUUUGAAAUUGAAUUGCUCUAGGGCACAUUUUAAAAAGGUUACUUGAUUUCAAAAUAUCGAGAUAACAAAGCAAGGCUUCCGCAAUGAAAACGUUUUCAAAAUUAAUAACUUUUUCAAAUGGUUUUAAACGAAUUGGUUUUCCCUGAAUAAUCGCUCAGUUAAAGUGUGGCAAUGGUUGUGUGCAUGUCUAGGAUUGAAUCCGUGUAGAGCUGGGUACUUAAGCAGUCUAAUUGACUCACCUCCUCUUUUUUGGCAUCCUACCUGAUGCACAGCUUCCAUUCACUUUAAUCUUUAAUGAAGAUAUUCUUUAAACAAUAAGAAAGACUUUAGAUAAAACAUGACUUUUCUAGUAACGCUUCAAUGUGACAUGCCGGAUUCGGUCGUAACGUCUGGGCUGGGUUUGGGGUGUUACAUAAUUAGAGCUCAAAUAAUUUAUAAUUAAGUUCUAUCUUUUUGCCUAUUGUUUAUAAACUUAUUUAGUUACAAAGUCAUUCCACUAUAGUAUCGUGACUAAGCUCUCCCCAAUUACAUACCAUUAUGAAAGCUACUUAAUAAGUGCUCGUCCAAUAAUGAAGAAGAUAAUGACAACAACAAUGGAGGUAAAAAUACAAAUAAAGUUUAGAUUUUUAUACUUUGAAAAGAAAAUGAAACUGAAAUAUAUUAAAGGAUUUAGAUGAAAAUGAAGAUACGAAGUAAAGUUUGGGUACCAAAGUGCAAGUAAUACAAGAGCUAUAGGAAAAAGAAACUAAAUUACCAACUAAACCCUAAAAAAAUAAAGCAAAAGUAACUACUAAGCUUAAAAGAUGAAAGAAAAGGUGGCUUCUUUAAAGUUAUUAGCCAAAAGUACUUUUAACUAGCUUAGAUACAAUAUAAAUUUUAGACAAAAAAAUACCCCUAAAAUUUGUGUUUUGACUUGGGUUGAUGUUGGACAAAAAACUACUACCUUGUAACAAUUUUUCUCUCUGUCCGACAACAAUGUCGCAACACCUAGGCUUCAGUGUCACAACACCCUAGAUAGUAGCACAAGUGAGGCUCUAGGGGUUCUUGGUGUCGUGACAUCCUUUGGUCGAUGUUGCGACAUCAUGACCGUGGAGGCUCAAGGUCACAAUUUUGGCUUGGUGUUGUGAAAUCAUUCCCUCAAUGUCAUGACUCUUUUGAUAGUAGGCUCCAUGUUGAUUUUCCCUUGAAGUUUUGCAUCCUCAGUGUCACGAAAUCCAUGGCAUUAGUGUAGUGAGACCCAUUCUAAAUUAUGUUUUCCUUUAGGUUGGGCCAUUUUUGUUUUCCUACACAACUUAAUCACGUCGUUAGGUUCCUCAUGGCACUAUUUUGCCAAUUUGGGUCUCAAAAGGAAUAAAACUCAGCCAAAAUCAUUUAUUAAUGGUGAAAGCUAAAAAUAAACAAAAGCAUAGAAAAUACACUUAAAUUGCUUGAGAAUAAGCUCCACGAGUGUAUUGGAGAGCUUAAUUUGAUGUAUUAAAUUACGAUAAAUCAUUAUACUAGAAGCAAUUGUCCCUAUGCCAAUCAAGAUAUAGAAAUAAGAUAAAUGAGAAAAUGGAUGAGAUAAGACAAAAAUUAGGUUUUUAAAUAAAAUUUGACAUGAACCAAAUUCAUUUCAAAGGUACUAUACAAGCCUCUAGAGCAAAGGAACCCAUAGAACAACGUAUGUAGAGCUUGUCCUUUUUGUUCAUGUUCGUAUUAGUUCUUAUUGUUGGAUUUGGUGCCCUAAGUGUAGUAUUUUCGUCUAAGUACACUUGUAAUUUUUUUGAAUAUAUUGGUUAAUAAAAUUAUUCAUAAAUUACAUUAAUACUUUUUAUAUUGUCCUCACAUGGUUUUUUCACGCAAAACAAAAUGGAAGCAAAUAUUAUUCAUUGGUUGUCUAAUGUUUAAUUGAUAGUAAGUGGUGUUACGCGGUUAGAUCGUAAUACAUAAAGACAACUUGUAUUAGUAGAAGAACCUAAACAUGUAAUUUGUCUAAUCAAAAAUGAGAAAAUCGAUUGAAAGAAUGAUAUGUCAACUAUCAAAUCUAAUUGGGAGAUGACUUGUCUUGAGUAUCGAAGCGGAUGACUCUUAGAAUAUAGAGACAUAAAUGUGACUGACUGGACCCAUGUAGAAUAAUUUUGAAUCCGUUUAUGGAUCUAUUCUCUUGCAAUUUUCAUAGUGUGACAUACCUAAAUCCUGAGUGGAUGACAGACUAUGUAGGCGUCGUACACCUUUAUGUAAGUAGAAAAGUGAGUUCGAAUAGAUAAGGAACCAAAAGUUGGUGCGUAGGGUGUACAACUUCUUCAAUAUGUAGCGUCAUUCACAAUAGUGGAAUUCAUAGCCCGAGACAUGGGUAAAUGUUAUCCUCUCAUAGGCAUUACAUGGUUUAUGAAAAGUAAAUAUGGCCACGAGUCGUUUGUCUUUGUGAUGGAUGACUUGAUCACUAGUUGUUAGUUAUUGACUUUUCAUUAAGAAAGAUGUAAUGAUUAUCAUGAUAUAAAAUAGGAUCAUACUAGGAGAACGAAUAUUAUCCUAAAGAGAUCAAGGAUAUACUAUGGGCAUAACACACUUAUGACAAGGUUAUUGGACGAGCACUGAAUAGUUAUUUUCGUAAUGGUAUGUCAUUAGGGAGAGCUCAGUCACGAUACUAUAGUGGAAUGACUUCGUGACUAAAUGAGUUUAUAAUUAAUAAACAAAAAUAUUGCAAGAAUAAUGAUAUAUGAAUUGAAAACAUCUUUUACUAAGGAAAGUUCGUGUGUCAAUAAUAUUGCAAUGCUAUGUUUGAAUUGAAAAUUCUAGAUUAUUAUUGUACGAAUGACAUGAUUUAAUAUAUUGAAAAGUGAUGAAAUAAUGAUAUAUAAAAUUUGUAAGAAUAAUGAUAUAUGACUAGUAGCACAUGAAAUGUUGGAUGGUUCAAUCAUUAAUGGCUUGCUAUAUAAUAGCUGAAUAUAUUGAGAAUUUGAUAUAACAUGAUGUUUUAUUAAGUUGGAUAAUUUGUGAAAGAAUGAAAAGGAAGGUAAGUCCAUUUGCAAGUAAAUACUGUGUGCGAGGUAUGUUAAUUACUUAAAUGAUGAUUAUAUGAUAAAUGUAUGCUCUUGAUAAGAAUAUGAUUUGAAUGCUCAAUGUAUGAAAAAUUUAUGAAACAUUGACAUGAUUGAUAAUAAGAGGAAGAAAAAUCUUGGUUGAAUGAAAUAGGAUAUUCGAUGGAUUCUUGAAAAGAAUUGAUGGUAAAAAGAAUCUAUCCCGGACGGGUGAUCCAAUCCCUAUAUAGCCCUCUCGAAGAAUAUGUGUAAACUUAUUUAGCUCAGACGGGUAAUCCGAAUUAGGUUCUGAAUUUAGCCUGGACUGGUAAUUCAGAUUCGAUCUCAUUUGAGUAUAUGUCAUUGUAGGGGAUUUAGUCUGGACUGGUAAUCCGGACAAUACUCUAUGAGUUUAUAUUACAGGGGAUUUAGCCUGGACUGGUAAUCCCGCUAUAAAAAAAGAGGUUUGUGGGAGUGUGCUUUUUAGAAAGGGAAAAUACAAAUUGACGGACAUGAACUUGUAAAGUGAUCUAGCCUCCCGAAGAAUAUGUGUGCAAUAUGGAUUUAUCCCAAACGGGUAAUUCGAUUAGGGUCUAAAUUUAUCUUGGACUGGUAAUUCAGAUUCGAGCUCAUGAAAGUAAUUUUUGUUACAGGGGAUUUCGCCUGAAUUGGUAAUUUCGACAUUUACUCUAUGAGUUUAUACUAAGGGGGAUUUAGCCUAGACUGGUAAUCCUGCCAUAAGAUGCGAGGUUCGCGAGAAUGCGUACUUGAAAUGACCAUUUGUACGAUUUGAUGGUACAUGGGAUAUCCAUCGAAAUUUCUGAGAAAAUUCAACGUGAUUAAUAUGAGAAAUGAAGAAAAAGGGUUUUUUCCGAGACAAACUUAUUUUUGUUAUAAGAUAAUACUAUGAUGUAUAUGAUUGCCACAUUUGGACGAGUGGUGGUGCUAAGAGUAGCACAGGUACGUACUCGAACCGACGUGUUGGACAUGGGAAAUGAAAUGGACUUGUGGUAAGAAUGCAAAUAAAUGAGUGAUACAUAUGAGAAUAAUUUUUAUGGCAAUCUUAUGAUAGUUAUCAUUGUAUUGCACUAAAACAGCUUUGGACAGCAGCAAUAGUACAACUUUGAAAAUCCACCAAAAAUUGUGGAAGUUGAAUUAAUGGCUGAAUUAAAUAUGAAAUGAAAGCUUAUUGAGUCUAGUUUCACAUAGAAGAAAUGGUAUAAGCAAAAGAAUUUAAUAUUAUGAGAUAUUUGAAUUCUUUUGAGAUAGAGUUAGAAUGAGUUCGGAAUCCCCUGUUCUGACUUGGGAAAAUCACUAGAAAUUAUACAAAAAUAAUUAUGAGUUAGAAUUCAUAUCACUAAAUCCUUAAGGAGUCUAUUUUCAAGAUAAUCAGAUGGGAACAUUUCUCGAAUCCCGUACUAAGAUAAAUAAAUAUUUGUGAAGAAAGGUCGAAGCUGUCAAACAGUGAAACAGAGGAGACUUUAAAGAAUAAACUAUACUUAUUGGCUAGACAAAAAUUCGGAAUAUUUUAUGGUGAGAAGACAUGUGAGUCUAGUUUCAGGGAAAAUUAGAGGAUCUUAAUUUGGAGUUCCGUAGUUCUAGAUAUAAAUAAUUUUGUGACUGUGACUCGAGAAAAUAACUUAACUGGACUUUGAAUAAAUAAAGAGAAAUUGAAAAAUAGCAUGUUAAUACAUUGCUUAUUAUUUUUCAUACGAGCUUACUAAGCGUAAAGCUUACUCCUUCCUUUGCUUUUCCUUAAUGUUCUAAGGUUGGCUCGGGGUUGGAAAUCGUCGGAGGUAGCAUCACACUAUCAAGCCAAUACCAUCGGAGUAUUGAUACAUAUGUUAGAAAUUUCAAGUGAGUGGCAUGUAUAGAGACCUAGUUUUAUGACAUGAGUUAUUAUGAUUUGGCUAAAUGUAUUGGUCUAUAUCGAGCUAUUGUAUAUGGCCAUAAGAUGUGGCUCAUAUUGAUUAUGGUUUGUAAGUCUAGCUAAUCAUGUCAUGUUUUAAUGCAUAUGAUGGGAUAAUUUGAAUAUGUUGUUUGACAUGCAUGUUUGGUAAUAUGAUAUAUGUGUUGGAUGUAUGCUCUAUGAACAAUUGAGGUGGUCAUAGUCAUGAAGUAAUUGUACGUUAUGAAAACAAUGUGAUAAUGGUUGAACACGAGUGCUUAAUGGAUAAGUUAGUAACCAUAGUAUAAUGGUAAAAGUGGUCAUCAAUAUGACAAGUCUUAUGAAUGUGAAUUAAGGAAUCUAAACUUGGUAUUUCAUGAGUAGAUGUAUUCCAUGUAAGAGGACAUGUAAAUGAUAUGAAUAUGUCUUGAUAAAGAGUGUUUAAUCACUAAAGUGAAGCCAUGAUUUGUGGCUUUAAUGCGUAUAAGGUUGUAAGGGUUUAUGGGUAACAUGAAGACUUCGAAAAUAGCCUAAGUAUUGACUACACGGGUUGAGACAUGGCCGUGUGUCUCAACUGUGUGAGGGACACAGCUUGGUGACAUGGGCGUGUGGCCCGGCCGUGUGGUUCAAUUUGUUGAUGAUGCUAUAAACAGAGAGUUACAAGGCCUGAGGACACGGGCGUGUUGAUGGCACACGAGCGUGCCCCUGUGUCCACACGGGCGUGUGACCCUAUUUCAUGGGGAAAUUUCUUAAGUUGUCCUGAAACUUCCCAAAGUUCUCGGUUUAGUCUCAGACCAUUUUUAAUGCAUGUUUUGGGCGUCGUAGGCCCAUAAUAGGGACACUAUGAAUAUUUUAGAUUGGUUUUAAUUUGGAAUGAAUUUUUAUGGCCCGGUUUGCAUGAUUGUUGCAUUUAAGUUCAAUAAUGCCUCGUACCUUGUCCUGGUCUCGAGUACGGGUAAGGGGUGUUACAAAUUUGACCUUGUACUUAUCAAUUGUUCAAUCUGCUUUCAUUUUUUGUUUGAAAAUCCAUUUAGAAUUUAGUGGUUUAAUUCUCCGAGGUAGAUCCACUAAUUCCCACGUAUGAUUUUUCAUGAUGGAAUCAAUUUCACUCUUGAUAGUAUUUUUCCAAAAAAAUGGUUUCAGAUGAGCAGAAAGCUUCACUAUAAGUUCGAGGUUUAGUCUCUAGCAUAUAGGUUAGAAAAUCUGAUCCAAAGGACUUUUCCACCCUUACCCGUUUACUUCUUCUUGGCUCCGCCUUGACUUCAACCUUUUGUUGAAAGUCUUGACUAUCGAUAGUCUCUGAAGUUUGUUUAGAUGAACUUGACCCAUCUAUCCAUCUACUCUAGUCUUACAAGAGAAUAUAUUUUCAAAGAAUGACACAUUUUUAGAUUCCAAUAUCGUAUUCUUGUGAAUUUCAGGAUUAUUUGGUUCAUGUACAAGAAACUGAUAUGCAUUGCUGUGGCGUGCAUAACCAAUGAAAAUACAAUCUAUCACUUUAGGACCUAUUUUCAUUUGCUUUAGCAAAGGAACCAUUACUUUUUCAAGACACCCCCACACUUUUAAGUAGUUGUAGAAAUGUUUCCUACCCUUUCAUAAUUCAUAUGGUGUCUUGUUCUUUUUCUUAUGGGGCACCUUAUUUAAAAGGUAAUUCGCUAAUAAAACAACUUCCCCCUAUAUUUUUUGUAACAACCCAUAACUUUCUAGCAUUGUGUUCAUCAUUUCCUUUAGGGUUUGAUUUUUACGCUCUACUACUCCUUUGGACUAAGGAGAGCACGGUGGUGUCACUUCAUGAAUAAUACCAUAUUGUGCACAACAUUUACCAAAUAGUUCAACAUAUUCACCAUCACGGUCACUUCUCACCCUUUUAAUUCUUUUAUUAAUUUGGGUUUCAACUUCCUGCUUAUAGAGAACAAAUUUCAUCUUUGCUUUUAAGCAAUUAUACAUAGCAAUAUUUUGUGCUAUCAUCAAUGAAGGUAAUAAAAUAUUUAUUCCUUCCUUUAGUUUAAAUAAACUUUAAGUCAAAAAGAUCACUAUGUAUUAGAUCAAUUGAUUCGGUAUUUCUUUCAAUAGAUUGAAAUGAAGACCUUAUUAGUUUUGCCUCAACACACGUUUCACAUUUAUGAUUAUAAAUAAUGUGAAAUGAAGGAAUGUGCUCUAAGUUAAUUAAUCUACAUAAAUUAUUAAAAUUAACAUGUCCAAGCCGACCAUGCCAUAAAUCAAAUGACUCAAGCAUAUAAACAGAAGAAGAAGCAUCAUUCUUAUUCAUAGUAUUAGCUUUUACAGAGAUAUCAUUGAGUUUCCACAAAUCAUUUAAUACACAUCCUCUCCUACAAAUGUCCCCCUUUUGACAAAACUAACUUCUGGGAUUUAAAUACCAUCCUAAAUCCAUGCAUACUUAGGAGGGUCUUAGAGACAAGAUUCUUGUAUAUGUCAAACACAUAUAACACAUUCUGAAGUUUCAAAUCUUUUCCAGAAGUCAACUUCAAAAUCACAAUGCCUUUCCCCUUGAUCUUCAAAAUAAAUCUUCGACAGGAGGUUGAUCGGUUAAUUCAAUAAGAAAUGGGGGUUAGCGCUCGAUUUCGUUGGUCCCAUCCAAUUCAAGUGCAUGCAAUUGGAUUGUUUCCUUAUUCAAUGAAGGAAUUUUUAAGUUCAACCAACCUAUUUUCAAAAUAGGAAGUGGAUAAAUAAAAAUUUUGGGAGAGUCUUUCAUUUUUCCGUCAUUAUAGGCAACACCAUUCAUAUUAUCUAUGGAAUUCGAACCCGAACUCUAUUUAUGAUUCCUUAUUUCUAUCUCAUUAGCCUUGUUUCAAUUUCAUUUCAUAUUUUAUUUUAGCAUAUCGAUUUUUUUUUACUUUACGUCCAACCUCUCCCCCCUUUUUCCAUCUAUAUUCCCUUUUUUUUUUCAUUUCAGGGCCGAAUUACGCCUGUUUUCACAUCUAGGAUUUACAUAUACAACAUAUAUUACUGUCAAGGGUGAAUUUCUUAUUUUAUUGAGCUUAUAAUAUAUAAUUUAUAUUAGAUGUUAGAAUAUUAAUUCUAUUAUAUAUUUAUCUAUUCUAUUAUAUAUAUUCUAAUAUAUAUUAGUAUUAUUUUUAUAUUAUUUAUCUAUUUCUUAUCUAUUUCUAUUUCAUUUAUUUCAUUUGCAUUUAGAAUUUUGAUUCAAAAAAAAGUAAGGAAUUAUAAACUUGAAAA